rnacentral:rRNA from 1 species
AUGCAUGAUUCACUGAAUGACCUCACACUUCAUGUUUCCAAUGGGGAAUGCUUCAGGGUUGACCAUGGCAGCGUUGGGGAGUUUCCUCAUUACAUUAGGCAUUUGUCUGUGUCUGCUGAACGACUGGGAGAUCUUGUGAACUAUGAUGGUCUCCGGAGAUUGCGUACAUUUAUGAUUCUGAAUGAUUCUUGGUUCUGCUCCAAAGUCUGCUUAAGUCAUGAGAUACUCAAUAAACUCAAGAGUGUGCGGUACUUGAUGAGGGAAGUCAACACUACUGGAGGUCAUUUCAGUCUUCCUGAAAGCAUUCGCAGGCUCAUUAACUUGGUGCAUGUUGAUGUAGAGAAGGCUUACACUCUCAUGUUAUCAGGUGUGUAUCAGCUUCCUUGUAUCGAGGGUUCUGGAGAAUUCCUUGUCGAUAAGAAGGAGCAAAGUUUGGUACAACUGAGGGAUCUGAACAAAAUUAGGGGAGAGCUUUCUGUUAGGUUUCUGGAGAAUGUAAAAAACAGGGAGGAGGCUGCAAAGUCUCAUCUAGACUUGAAGGAGCACAUCUCUAAGUUGGAGCUAGAAUGGGGAUCAUUCGAUGGUGCUCAUGAUAUGGACAAGGGCUUUGAGGUGCUUGAUGUAUUAAAGCCGCACCGCAAUCUUGAUGACCUAACUAUCAGUGGGUACCCAGGUGUCAAGUCUCCUUCUUGGCUGGAGUCUGAUUGGCUGAGAAGAUUGAAAUUGAUCUGUCUACGAGAUUGUAAUAGAUGGGAGGUCCUUCCACCUUUAGGGGAUCUCCCCUUACUCAGUACUCUUGAAGUGCGGCGAAUGGAAGAACUAAAAGCACUCAGCCAGGAGUUCUUUGGUCAUGCUGGAUUCCCUUCUCUGGAAAUAUUGCUUCUGGAACGCCUACCUAAAUUGGAGUGGUGUCUUGUGGACAAUGAUAAAGUGUUACAGAAUCUCAGACAUAUCUCUGUUGCUGGCUGUCCACGGCUCAGAUCAUAUCCUACCCAUCCUCGUACACUCAGACAUAUAGCUGUACUUGACAAGGAAAAUAUCAGUUUUAAGCUUCAGAUUGACAGUUUUGAACUAUCAAGGUCAUUUUGUCGCCUGGUAUCAAGCUCCUUCCAUGUCUUGCGCUCUCAUCACCUAGAGUCUAUAGAAGAUAUGGAGAUCUAUGUUAACUGUUUGAAUACUUGCUCAGUGAUUACCACACUGUUGGGUGAGAACGGAUGUCCUGUGCUUCCUUUGUCACUUAAAUGCCUUGCAUUAGAAAAGUGCUACCUGCAACCAUCCUCUUUCUCCAAGUUAUUGAAUAAUCUUUCAUCUCUUGAAACAAUAUGUCUAUCAAAAUGUGGCUCUGUUGAGAUACCGAGUCUACCGGGGUCAGAAGCACUGUUGUCCCUUGAAGAGAUGAAGAUAACCCGUUGUUAUGAUCUGGAAUAUGUACCGUACUUAGAUGACAUGCCAUGUCUUCAGAAACUACAUUUGUCCGGGUGCCCUCAAGUUACGCGAUUGUCUAAAGCAGGCUACCAGACAACACUGAAAGAGCUGGUUAUAAUGUAUUGUGAUGGAUUAUCUUCUCUGCGACAGCUGUGUGACCUGGUUUCACUUGUGAAGCUGACGAUUACCAAUUGUUCUGAUUUAUUGUGGCUUCCUGAUAUGGAUGGCUUUUAUUCUCUCCGGGUUCUCUCCAUUGAUCAGUGCCCCCAGCUGAGGUCACUGCCACGGAGUGGUCUUCCUGUAUCACUUGAAACAUUUUUCCUGUCUAAAUGCCAUCAAGCACUGGAGGAGCAGUUUCAACGGAAGGAAGGUCCAGAUUGGAAUAAGUUUGCGGCCCUUCCAGGAUGCAAGUGGGAAGCUAGUGCUACUGAACAAGAACAAGAUCAGCAUGGAAUGGGCAACCCAAAAAGGAUGGGCACAAUCCAUGAUGCAAAUUCUCUGUUCAGUUGUUGGCAAGACGGAAGUUGCAGGCCACAUGUUCUGAUUUUGGAAUUUACUAGAGGGCUGGAGCUUGGGUUUUCAUGGAAGUUGAUAGAGCAACAUCUAGUUCAGUCUCCACAAACGGACUCCAGUUUCCAUCUGCAGUUCGCCUGGCUGAUUCUGCAGGUGCAGUUUCCAUCAGCAAUUCAUCUGGCUGAUUCUGCAGGCGAUCUCACUGAAUCCGAAUUUAGUGGUGUGACCCCCAUCGCUUAUCUUCGAUUGAAGUCCAAUGCCACUGAUUGUUUGUCACUUUCAAUCAAAACUAGGGUUGAUUGGUUUAUAAUUAUAAUGCAACACCAUGGACGUACUCCUCUUUCAGCGUUCGGAGGUCAGCGGGGCUAUGGGAUGUCAGUCGACAUGCGGGUGGUCUCCGAAGGCAAGGAAUGCGUUCAGGGAGGCGUUGGCGUGCAAGCGGAUGAGCAAUAG